GGGGGUAAAUUAAAAAUAGAGGUAAUAAUAAAAAAAUUUUUAAAUUAAUUAUAUUAAGUAUUUUAAUGGGGGUUAAAGUAUAUUGAUAGAAAAAAUUAAAAAUUUUAUAGUUAAUUAGUAUUGUAAAAGAAAUUUGAAAUAAUAAUGAAAAGUAAAUUAUUUAAAAGUAAUUUUAAUUUAAUGUAUCUUGUGUAUCAGAGUUUAUUAAAUAAUUUUUUUUUUAUAAAAAGUUCUCGAAUUUAAGAGAGAUAAUUAAUUAUUAAAGUUAUUGUAGCAUAAAUAUUUUAAAUAAUUAAUUUGAAAUGAGAUGUUAAUCGUUCUUAAAAAUAUCUAGUUUUUUUAGAAAAAAAUUUAAUUUUAAAUUUAUUUUAAUAUAUAUAUAUAUAUAUAUAUAUAUAUAUUAAGUAUUAAAUUAAUUAAUUAAUUUAAUACUUAAGUAAAUUUUAUAUUUUAAGGGAUAAGCUUUAAAAUAAAUUUAUAUAAUUAAUGAAAUUUAUUUGAUUUUGAAAAUUAUAUAAUUUAUAUUGUUAAUAAAUUAUAAUUUAUUAUAAAUAAUUUCAAAUUAAAAUAAAAUUUAAUUUUAAUUUAUAUUGUUUAUAAAAAAAUAAUUUUAAAUUAAAUAUAAUUAGUUAUAAUGAUAAAAUUAGUAUAUUUUAUAUUUAAUUUUUAAAAUAAAAUUAAGUUAUUUUAAAGGAAUUCGGCAAAAAUUUAUACUCACUUGUUUAUCAAAAACAUGUCUUUUUGAAAAUAAUAUAAAGUCUAAUCUGCCCACUGAUUAUAUUAAUUGAAGGGCUGCAGUAUAUUGACUGUACAAAGGUAGCAUAAUCAUUAGUCAUUUAAUUGAUGACUUGUAUGAAAGAUUGGAUGAAGUAUAUACUGUCUCUAAAAUAUAUAAAUAGAAUUUAAUUUUUAAAUUAAAAAGUUUAAAUAAAUUAAAAAGACGAGAAGACCCUAUAGAGUUUUAUUUAUAAUUUUAUUAUAGUUAUUUAUAAAUUUAAAAUUUUUAAUUUAAUUAUAUAUUUUAUUGGGGUGAUAAAAAAAUAAAAUUAACUUUUUUUAAAAAUAAACAUAAAUAAAUGAUUAAAUGAUCCAAUUUUAUUGAUUAUAAGAAAGAAUUACCUUAGGGAUAACAGCGUAAUUUAUUUUUUUAGUUCAUAUAAAAAAAUAAGUUUGCGACCUCGAUGUUGGAUUAAGAUAAAAAUUAAAUGCAAAAGUUUAAAUUUUUUGAUCUGUUCGAUCAUUAAAAUCUUACAUGAUCUGAGUUCAGACCGGUGUAAGCCAGGUUGGUUUCUAUCUUUUAAAAAAUGAAAUAUUUUAGUACGAAAGGAUCAAAUAUUUAAAUUAAAUUUAUUAUAUGAAUUUUAUUAAAUAUUUUAUAUAAAUGUAAUUAUAUAUGUAAUAUAUAUAUAUAUAUAUAUAUAUAU
rnacentral:rRNA from 1 species